ACAGUGGACGCGAGCAUCUGUGGCCAAGUUUUUAAGGGCGCACGGUGGAUGCCUUGGCACCAGGAACCGAUGAAGGACGUGGGAGGCCACGAUAGUCCCCGGGGAGUCGUCAACCAGGCUUUGAUCCGGGGGUUUCCGAAUGGGGAAACCCGGCAGUCGUCAUGGGCUGUCACCCGCUGCUGAACUCAUAGGCAGUGUGGAGGGAACGCGGGGAAGUGAAACAUCUCAGUACCCGCAGGAAGAGAAAACAACCGUGAUUCCGGGAGUAGUGGCGAGCGAAACUGGAUGAGGCCAAACCGUAUGUGUGUGAUACCCGGCAGGGGUUGCGCAUGCGGGGUUGUGGGAUCUCUCUUCCACGGUCUGCCGGCCGUGGGACGAGUCAGAAACCGUUGAUGUAGGCGAAGGACAUGCGAAAGGUCCGGCGUAGAGGGUAAGACCCCCGUAGUCGAAACAUUAGCGGCUCGUUUGAGAGACACCCAAGUAGCACGGGGCCCGAGAAAUCCCGUGUGAAUCUGGCGGGACCACCCGCUAAGCCUAAAUAUUCCCUGGUGACCGAUAGCGGAUAGUACCGUGAGGGAAUGGUGAAAAGUACCGCGGGAGCGGAGUGAAAUAGUACCUGAAACCGUGUGCCUACAAGCCGUGGGAGCGUCGCGCAUCGAGCUUGCUCGGUGCGUCGUGACUGCGUGCCUUUUGAAGAAUGAGCCUGCGAGUUAGCGGUGUGUAGCGAGGUUAACCCGUGUGGGGAAGCCGUAGCGAAAGCGAGUCCGAA
rnacentral:rRNA from 1 species